GGGCUACAUUGCUAUGGAGAGGAGGGGAGGGGCUACAUUGCUAUGGAGAGGAGGGGAGGGGCUACAUUGAUAUGGAUUGGAGGGGAGGGACUACAUUGCUAUGGAAAGGAGGGGCUGUAGUUCGUAAGGCGAGACUGGCUGGCUUGGCCUAUGUUACAGUUCCAUUAGCUACACCAUAUUGAAUAUUCUCUAUGUGCCUAUAUAUAUACAUAUGUGUGUGUAUAUAUAUGUAUGUGUGUGUGUGUACACAUUCCAUACAUUUAAACUUGUGUAUAAUGCCAUAUACAAGCAAUAGGCUGAUUGUCUUAGUAUCUGAAUUAGCGAUCGGUUAUUAUGUGUACACGGAUCAGUGAUAUUUUGAAUUUUUUUUCAGAGACAGUGGCAUGUUUUUUUAAACAAAACCAUAUUUUAACUGGAAGGUGUGUUUUAAGAUGAUAAGGUUUUAUAUAUUCCUCUGUAGUAAAGGGCUGAGGGAUACUGUAACCAUGAACGAUUGUCUGUGAUAAGGCACUACCAGAGGAACACCAUGCGCUGUAAGCUGCUACAUAUCUGUUUUCUCCUGUGUAAUAUGUUGUUUAGACCGAGUUGGUGAAUGAAUGGGUUUCGUGUGGUGGGCGGGCUGUAAGCCUAUGAGAACUCUGAAUUCAGACUUGAUUGAUGUGUGGUGGGCAGGCUGUAAGCCUAUGAGAACUCUGAAUUCAGACUUGAUUGAUGUGUGGUGGGCGGGCUGUAAGCCUAUGAGAACUCUGAAUUCAGACUUGAUUGAUAUGUGGUGGGCGGGCUAUAAGCCUAUGAGAACUCUGAAUUCAGACUUGAUUGAUGUGUGGUGGGAGGGGCAUGAAGGGGAUGGGGAGCAGGUCCUUAGUUAUGUCAUAAACCAAAAACCUCUGUGUCAUGCAUUUUGAGCUUCUGCCAACCUUUGCCAGUGAUUUACUGUAGAUUAGUAAUCAGUGUAGCACCCACUCCUGUACUAUUGACUCAUGGCUUCGUUGCUCCAGAGCAGGGGUAUUCAACUGUUACCCUACGAGGACCGGAGCUGGAUGCUUUUCUGCUUUACCCUGUGAUUAAUGCCACCCACCUGGUGUCCCCGAUCUAAAUGUGUUUCUAACAAUGAAAAUAUAAAGUGGAUCUGGCUUUGCGGGUCAGAGUUGAACACCCCUGCUGUAGAGCCAGAAGCCCCAUUAACAGCAGCCUGGCCAUGUUCUAUCUCUGAAGGUUUGUGUAAUAUAUUUACAGUCAAUAAUGAAUGAAUAUUCUUAAAAGGGAAGUGAUCAUCUCGUCUGUUUUCCGGGGUUAGUAACAUGUUUUACUAUAGUCAACUGAGUCCCCAGAUCAAAACAGGAGCAUCUGGUUUUCAGGGCUGCAGUCCUCUUUUACGCUUUUGUUGCCUGAAGACAGCAUGUUGGAACUCUGCUCAGGUGUUUCUUUAGGUUCAUGGCUGAUGCUUUACCACAUUCAUUAACAUUACUAUGGGCCGACCGAUGUCCUAGCCUGGGUUCAUUACUAUGGGCUGACCAAUGUCCUAGCCUGGGUUCAAAGGGCAGUCCAGGUUGGUUCUUGUCUUCAUUGGUAUCUACUGGUUUCUACGGAUAUCUACUAGAUUUCCACCUGAACGUGACACUGUAAUGUUGGUCUUUUUCAUUAUCUACAAAGUAGAUUAUUUUAUGUUUGAUAAUAAAAUUAUUUAUGUUAAAAAAAAGUCCAAAAUAUAUGAACAUGUAUGUUUUAAGCAGUUUUGGAUAGUAAGGUCGAAGUCUGUAUGUUGUUAGGCAGAAUAAUGUAUUCCUGAAAUGAUAUGUAUUAUAAUAUAUUGUCUUUAAAUGUUUGUUUGUUAUGUUUGUGUUCAUUUUUACUUCACUUAAUCUCGAAGGAAAGACUACCUUUUGGGUCUCUGAAAUAUUCUACCAAUUAGCAUAUUGUAAGUUGAUCUCUGGUUGCCUAAGGACUUUCUAGUUAUGCAAAUUGAGGAGAAGUUGAAGUUGCUUGUACAGAUGGUAAUGUUGUCCUGCUCACCUGUUCAAUGUGUCAAGUGCAUUUGUUGUCAUGGCAACAGGAUUGGAGCAGGGCAACUGACAUCACCUUUGUAUUAACCAAUAUAAUGCCCUCGUUGUGUUACGCUACAGUAUUCCUCUAGUCCCCUACUGGGAGGGAAUAUAAUAUAAACAUUUUGUGUUGGGGCACUGUUGAGUAGGGCCCCAAAUGUAGGGGUUAGUGUGCCACUGGGGAUACAUUGUCUUGUGCCCCUGUUUGAUUUUCUAGGUUUCAGUUUGUACAUCCUGUGGUGUCUCGUGUUUCAUCACCAUGUGUAUUUAUAUCAAUCUGUCUGUAACCAUGAAUCUGAAUAAACUCUGGUCAUUCACUGAAUAGACCAA
ensembl:lncRNA